rnacentral:rRNA from 1 species
UUAUGGCUCAGGAUGAACGCUAGCGACAGGCUUAACACAUGCAAGUCGAGGGCAGCAUAGAAGUAGCAAUACUCGGUGGCGACCGGCGCGACGGUGAGUAACGCGUAUGCAACCUACCUAUCAGAGGGGAAUAACCGGCGAAAGUCGGACUAAUACCGCAUAAAACAGGGGCACCGCAUGGUGAUAUUUGUUAAAGAAAUUCGCUGAUAGAUGGGCAUGCGUUCCAUUAGGUAGUUGGUGAGGUAACGGCUCACCAAGCCGACGAUGGAUGGGGAACUGAGAGGUUGGUCCCCCACACUGGUACUGAGACACGGACCAGACUCCUACGGGAGGCAGCAGUGAGGAAUAUUGGUCAGUGGGCGGGAGCCUGAACCAGCCAAGUCGCCGUGAAGGAGGAAGGAUCUAUGGUUCGUAAACUUCUUUUGCAGGGGAAUAAAGUGCAGGACGUGUCCUGUUUUGUAUGUACCCUGAGAAUAAGGAUCGGCUAACUCCGUGCCAGCCGCUGC